ACGCGCUUCGGCGCACCCAGAAACCCUUUGUGAACUUAUACCUUACUGUUGCCUCGGCGCAGGCCGGCCCCCCCACCGGGGCCCCUCGGAGACGAGGAGCAGCCCGCCGGCGGCCAACCAAACUCUUGUUUCUUAGUGAAUCUCUGAGUAAAAAAACAUAAAUGAAUCAAAACUUUCAACAACGGAUCUCUUGGUUCUGGCAUCGAUGAAGAACGCAGCGAAAUGCGAUAAGUAAUGUGAAUUGCAGAAUUCAGUGAAUCAUCGAAUCUUUGAACGCACAUUGCGCCCUCUGGUAUUCCGGAGGGCAUGCCUGUUCGAGCGUCAUUUCAACCCUCAAGCCUGGCUUGGUGUUGGGGCACUGCUUCGAGAGGAGCAGGCCCUGAAAUCUAGUGGCGAGCUCGCCAGGACCCCGAGCGUAGUAGUUAUAUCUCGUUCUGGAAGGCCCUGGCGGUGCCCUGCCGUUAAACCCCCAACUUCUGAAAUUUUGACCUCGGAUCAGGUAGGAAUACCCGC
rnacentral:rRNA from 1 species